UACGUAGGUGGCAAGCGUUGUUCGGAAUUAUUGGGCGUAAAGGGCGCGUAGGCGGCUUGUUAAGUCGGCUGUGAAAAGCCCCGGGGGCUCAACCCCCGGAGGGUCAGCCCGAUACUGGCAGGGCUAGAGUACGGAAAGAGGUAGCUGGGAAAUUCCCCGGUGUAGCGGUGAAAAAUGCGUAGAUAUCGGGGAGGGAAACACCCUGAGGGCGAAAGGGCCG
rnacentral:rRNA from 1 species